GCAGUGGUAGUCUAAUGGUUAGGACACUAGCUUGCCAAGCUGGUAAUCCGGGUUCGAGUCCCGGCCAUUGCA
rnacentral:tRNA from 2 species